rnacentral:lncRNA from 1 species
AUUUCUUUUCCUGUGGUUGAUUUUUCAUUUCAUGCUAUUGUGGUCAGAGAAAACACUUGAAAUUAUUAUUUUUUUGUCUUUUUGCCUUUUCUUGAGCCACUUCUGUGGCAUAUGGAGAUUCCCAGGCUAAGGGUCUGAUCGGAGCUGUAGCCACUGGCCUAUGCCAGAGCCACAGCAAUGUGGGAUCCAACCCAUGUCUGCUACCUACACCACAGCUCAUGGCAACGCUGGAUCCUUAACCCACUGAGGAAGGCCAGGGAUCGAACCCGCAACCUGAUGGUUCCUAGUCAGAUUUGUUAACCACCACGCCACGACAGGAACUCCUUGAAAUUUAUUUCUAUACUCUUAAAUUUGUUGAAGUUAGUUUUGUGCCCCAGUAUGUGGUCAAUCUUCGAGAAUAUUCCAUGUGCACUUGAAAAGAAUAAUGUAUAUUCUGAUUUUUUGGAUGUAAUGUCCUGAAAAUAUCAUUUAAGUCUAACUUUUCUAUUGUGUCAUUUAGGAUCUCUGUUGCCUUAUUGAUCUCCUGUCUAGAGGAUCUGUCCAUUGAUGUGAGUGGGGUAUUAAAUUCUCCUGUUACUGUAUUCCCAUCAAUUUCUCCUUUUACGUCUGUUAGUAUCUGGGUGCUCCUAUUUCAGGGGCAUAUAUAUUGAUGGUUAUAAUAUCCUCUUCUUGAAUGGAUCCUUUUAUCAUUAAACAGUGUCCUUCUUUGUCUUUCUUUAUGGCCUUUGUUUUAAAGUCUAAUACAAGUAUUUCCACCCCUGCUUUCCUAUCUUUUCCAUUGUCAUGAAAUAUCUUUUCCAAUUCCCUGACUUUCAAUUUAUAGGUGUCCUUUGCCUUAAGGUGAAUCUCUUGUAGACAGCAUGUUGUAGGCUCUUGUUUUUGUCCAAUCUGCCACUCUUUUGUCUUUUGAUUGGAGCAUUCAGUCCAUUGACUUUUAAGGUAAUUAUUGAUAAAUAUAUAUGUAUUUAUUACCAUUUUAAACCUUGUUUCCAUUUGAUUCUGUUUCUCUUUUGUUCCUUCAUUUUUUUGGUUGCAUGAUUUCCUUUUAUUUUAUGCUCGUGUCCUUUUUAGUUUUUGUGAAUGUACUGUAUGGUUUUGACUUGCGGUUGCCCUGUUUUUCAAGUAUGUUAAUCCCUUCCUAUAUCUGCUUACUUUAGUCUGAUAGUCAUAUAGGCUCAAACACAUUCUAAAAAAAAACAAAGAAGUUAGAUUUACUUUCCUUCCCUACAUUUUAGAAUUUUGGAAGUCCUUUUUUAAACAUUUUCAUGUUUAUCCUUUUGCUGUUCCUUAUGUUUAUCAUCGAUUUUACAAUAUUUUUUUUUUCCUUUUAGAUCUGUAUAUUGGCUUAAAUGAUUGCUUCCAAGUGUGACUUCCGCCAUCCCAUUUCUUACUUUUUUAUUUAGAGGAGCCCUUUCAGUAUUUCUUUUAGAAUGGUGUAGUAUUGCUGUACUCUUUUAGUUUUUGUUUGUUGGAGCAGUUUUUUAUUUCUCCUAUUUUAAAUGAUAUUCUUGUUGGGUAGAGUAUUUGAGGUUGCAAAUUUUCCCCUUUUAGAACUUUGAAUAUAUUUUGCCACUCUCUUCUGGCCUGUAGUGUUUCUGUAGAGAAAUCAACUGAUAGCCUCCCUUAUAAUUAAUUACUUGUUUUUCUGUUGCUGCCUUUAGAAUUGUCUCUAAAUUUUUCUAUUUUUAUUGUAAUAUGCCUUGGUGUGGUCCUCUUUGGGUUCAACUUGUUUGGGGCCCUCUGUGCUUCCUGUAUCUUGCUAUCUGUUUCCUUUAGAUUUGGGAAGUUUUCAGCCAUUUUCUUCAAAUAUGUUUUCAAUCCCCUUUUCUUCUCCUUCUGGCCUGCUUUAUAUUAUCCCAUAUAUCUCUCAUAUUGCUUUCCUGUUUUUUUCAUUUGGUUUUCUGUCUGCUGUAGUGACUGGGUGAUUUCCUUUAUUCUCUCUUCCAAGUCACUAAUUCAUUCCUCCGCAUUACUCAGUCGCUCUUCAGUGCCUUUAACUCGGCUUGCAUCUCUGCAAAUGAAUUUUCUAAUUUUUCUUGGCUCUUCUUUAUAUUUUCUAGUUCCUUUCUAAAGUAAACUGCAUUACUGUUCAUAUCUGCUCUUAAUUCCUUCAUAUUCCCUCUUAACUCCUUCAGUAUUUUCACUCUUUCCUUUUUGAGCCUGGUGUCUAUUAAACUGCAGAGUCUGUUUCAUUAUCUGCUCCUUCAGGUGAAUUCUUCUGUUCUUUUAACUGGGAAUGGUUCCUGAGCUUCUUCACUUUGCUUAUAUUUUUCUUACUCUGUGAGUUUAGGGGAAACAACUAGUAGUCUUGGAGGGCUAUUUAUAUGCAUGAGCACCCCUGUUAGGUUUUGUUAGGGCUGGCUUUUUAUUUUUAGGGUGCUGCACAUGCUUCCAGGGAGAUGGAGGCAAUGGGCAGGGCUACUAGCCAGUGCCUUAUUGCUGGGCCCCUGACAGUGGCAAGGUGGCUCAGGCUGCUCCUAGUUGCAGGGGCCUGGGAAGUGACUGUGAUCAAACAUCUGAGGUGACACCUGGAGCAUUUGGUAGUGGCAGCAGAAGGACAGGUAUGUUCCCAGGGGAGUGAGAGCAACAACAUGUGGUGCCCAGUUGCAGUGCCCUCUUCUUCUUCUUCUUUUUUUUUGGCUUUUUAGGGCCAUACCUGUGGCAUCUGGAAGCUCCCAGGCUAGGGGUGGAACUGGAGCUACAGCUCCUGGCCUACACCAGAGCCACAGCAAUGGAGGGAUCCUAGCUGUGUCUGCAACCUAUAGCACAGGUUAUGGCAAUGCAGGAUCCUUAACCCAUUGAAUGAGACCAGGAAUUGAACCCGCAUGCUCACGUAUCAUAGUUGGCCAUGAAGGGAAUGGGACAGUGCCCUCUUUGCUGACCUCUGAGAUGACUCGGGUCACAGGUGGUGCCUGUUCACAGGCCAUGACUCCCUCUGGUGUCUGAGAUGACUGCUGUGGUUUUUCCCUGUGGCCUGUAGAUCACACAAGAGGUGCCACAUUGCGCUUCGCCCCCUGCUGCCCUUAGGCCCCACAAGAGGCACCUACUUGCCUGGGGCAUGGAAAAGUGGCAUCUCACCAUCCAUAGCUUGUGACAGAGGUACCCCACCUGGGCAGCUCUUUUAAGUUCUUUCAACCUCUUUCUGCCCAUCUUUAUGUAAUCACCUAUUUAAAAAACCACACCCACUGCCUUCUCCCUGUGUGUAACCUUUAGCCCCAUACCUCCUUUCUAGACUGUCAGUCUCUUGGGGCAAGGACUCUGCUUCUCUGGUUCCUCUAGUGGGUUACAGAGCCUGUGCUUGUAGGCUAAACUGAUUUAAAACAAACAAAAACUUCUCUAUUUUUAUUAUACAGGGCUUUUGGAAUUUGCCUCUUCUCUCCAUCCCCCUGAAUAGAUCCAUAAGUCGUACCCUCAUGGCAAGUGAUCAUGCUGGCAAAGCUAGGACUUCUGUUUUCCGCCUCAUCUUCUGAAUGUCUUCCUAAUUGGAGGAAGACAAGUGCCCUUGAUCAUGUUUCUAUCUACCUAAGGAUUCUCUUCUGCCUUCCAAUCAUUUUCCAAAGUCAUGAAAACUUUUAAUCUUGGGUCAUGGGAGCUUCCACUUCUUUCAUUUCCCGUCUAGAACUAGUGAACCCUUCUAAAAAGUUACCAAAGGGAAUGUAUCACCUUCAGAAUUAUGCCAAGAUAACAUCGGAAUAUUAACUGAUAUCAUUACUGAGGAAUGGUGUUUGGUCCCCAGGCCUCUAUUUCACCCUGUUCUGUAAUUGCUUCUAUGUUUGUCUGUCUUCCUACUAAACUGCAGGCCUCCUUGAAGGCAGGGACACAAUGAUCCAAAACCCCAGGGGACACACAAAUAGCACUUCAAUCCGCAAACAAAAAAAAUCCCAAGUAAACACCCUAACCUUAGACCUAGAGCAACUCGAGAAAGAAGAACAAAUAAAACCUGAAGUUACUAGAAGGAAAGAAAUCAUGAAGAUCAGAGCAAAAAUGAGAUAGGGGAGUCCUUGUCAUGGCUCAGCAGUGAGUGAACCUGACUAGCAUCCAGGAGGACGCAGGUUUGAUCCCUCACCACACUCGGUGGGUUAAGCAUCUGGUGUUGCCUUGAGCUGCAGUGUGGGUCGCAGAUGUGGCUUGGGUGCAGCAUUGCUGUGGCUCCGGCAUAGGCUAGUAGCUAUAGUUCCAACUGGACCCCUAGCCUGGGAACCGCCACAGGCGUGGCCCCAAAAAGCAAAAAAAGCCAAAAAAAAAAAAUGAGAUAGGAAUGAAGAAAAUUAAAAAGUGAAACUAAAAGCUGAAAAAGCUGAUUCUUUGAAAAUUAAAAAAAAAAAUUGAUAUACCUUUAGCCAGAUUCAAGAAAAAAAGGUAGAGGUUCAAAUCAGGGUUUAAAUCAAUAAAAUUAGAAAUGAAAAAGGAGAAAUUACAACUGACAACACAGAAAUACAAAGGACCACAAGAGACUACUACAAGCAACUAUAUGUCAAUAAAAUGAACACCCUAGAAGAAAUGGACAAAUUCUCAGAAAGGUACAACCCUUCCAAGACUGAACCAGGAGAAUAGAAAUAUGAAUAGGGCAAAAAAAAGUUCUGAAAUUAAAACUGCGGUUAAAAAACUUCUAGGAUCAGACAGCUUCAUAAGCAAAUUCUAUCAAACAUUUAGAGAAGAGUUAACGCCUAUCCUUCUGAAGCUCUUCCAAAAAAUUACAGAGGAAGGAACACUCCCAAGCUCAUUCUAUGAAGCCACAAUCACCCUGAUACCAAAACCAAAGAUACCACUAAAUAAGAAAAUUACAGACCAAUAUCAUUGAUGAAUAUAGACAAAAAAAUCUUCAACAAAAUAUUAGCAAAAGGAAUCCAACAAUAUGUUACCCAUUGAGAUUUAUCCCAGGGAUGCAAUGAUUCUUCAAUAUAUGCAAAUUACACCACAUUAACAAUCUAAAGAAUAAAAACCAUAUGAUCACAUCAAUAGAUGCAGAAAAAGCUUUUGACGUAAUUCAACACUAUUUUCUUUUUUUUAUGACUGCAUCUGUGUCAUAUGGGAAAUCGUGGGCUAGGGGUUGAAUCAGGGCUACAGCUGCAGGCCUAUGCCACAGCCAUGGUAACACUGGAUCCAAGCCUCAUCUGUGACCUAUAUUGCAACUUGCAGCAAUGCCAGAUCCUUAACCCACUGAGUGAGGCCAGGGAUUAAACCUACAUCCUUAGACAACUUUAGGUUCCUGCUGAGCCCAAUAGAACUCCUCAACACACACACAUACACAUUUUGCCAUACCUGUGGCAUGUGGAAGUUCCUGGGCCAGGGACUGAACCCAUGUCAUAGCAGUGACUUGGGUUGCUACAGUGACAAUGCUGGAUCCUUAACCCAUGUGCCACAAGGAACUCCUCAACAAACAUUUUUGAUAAAAACUCCUUCAGCAAGUGGGCAUAAAGGGAACCUACCUCAACACCACAUAUGACAAACUCAUAGCUAACAUCAUUCUCAAUGGUGAAAAGCUGAAAGCUUACCUGCUAAGAUCAGGAAUAAGACAAGGAUGUCCAUUCUCACCACUUUAUUCAACAUAGUUUUGGAAGUCCCAGCCAUGGCAAAUCAGAGAAGAAAUAUACAUAAAAGGAAUCCAAAUUGGAAAAGAAGUAAAACUGUCAUUGCAGAUGACACAAAACGACACAUAGAAAAUCCUAAAUAUACUACAGAGCUGAUCAAUAAAUAUGGUAAAGUUUCAGGAUACAAAAUCAAUAUGCAGAAAUCUCUUGCAUUCCUAUACACUAACAAUGAAAGAUCAGAACGAGAAAUUAAGGAAACAAUCCCAUUUACCAUCGUGUAAAAGAGAACAAAAUAUCUAGGAAUAAAUCUACCUAAGUCGCUGAUAAAAGAAGUCAAAUAUGGCACAAACAGAUGGAAAGAUAUAGCAUGAUCUUGGACUUGAAGAAUUAAUAUUUUCAAAAUAUAGUACUCGAGGCAAACUAUAGAUUAAACAUAAUCUCUAUCAAACUACCAAUGGCAUUUUUCAUAGAACUAGAACAAAAAAAUUUUUAAUUUAUAUGGAAACAAAAAAGACACCCCCAUAGCCAAAGCAAUCUUUUUUUUUGCUUUUUAGGGCCGCACCC